GGAAGCCACUGUUGCAACUGGAAUCCCACGGGUUUAAGAUGUGUCCAUCUGUCAUGUUUUUCUGUACAUUACCUGAUAUAUUACAGAUUAAGGACAGGAAGAAAGCCCUGUUUCCUACGUGUGCAAACCUCCACACAAAAGGGGAAGCCUAGCAGAGUUCUUACAGUUCUAUGGCUAUCUCAUGGGAGCGACUUCCAAAGGCUACCAUCAGCUGCUGGAUGGUAUCCGUGGAGCCCAGCCCUUUGGUUCUUGGAGCCCACUCAGUUUUAAUUGGGAUGAAAAAGGCUUGCCUGAAAGCUGCUAUUUUUCCUGCAGGACACGGUUCCUUUGGACAGGAGGUCGCAUGCUGCUGCCCUUCAGUCCCAACACGCUGCUGCUGGCAGCACAGACAGACCUGUGGUGCUUGGGGUGCAAUUGCCGUCUGCGUGUCUGGGCAGACCGCGCUCAGCUGCGGCUGUGCAGUGUGAACCCAGGGGAAGUGCGAGGGGAAGAGAAACUUCCUUUCCCUUGCUGUCAGCUUGCUAACACCCAACAGGACAAGGAGAGAUUUUCACUGGACCCUACUGGGAACGUUUGGUGCUGUCUGGCAGCUGUUUGGGUGAUGGAGAGACUCUGAAUUUCCUGCUUUACCUUCCAGCUCCGAACAAAGCGCUCUCUAUGUAAAGGGAGCCUCGCUGCCGGCGAAGCAGCUAGUUCCAACACGUCCCUUUCCCUCCUGGCACCCUCCACGUAGCCCCCACAGAAGGGGCAGGGAGUGCAGUUCCCAGCACACCUGAGUCACCCCUCGCCGAGCGCCGGCAGGAAGGGGUGGUGGCAGCUGGGAAGCUCCCGUGAGUCACCGACCAACAGCCGCACGGAGAGGAACUUGGCACCGUGCUCUGCGCUCUUACUCCUCCCGUCGGACUUCUUGCUGAAGGCUGGCCGCUGGGGGAGGAAAGGAUCAUUACAGUGAAAGCUAGUGCAGUAAAGGAAAGGAGGAAGAGUAGGAGCAAAAACGCCUUCUUGCCACCCAGCUGCACGAAAUCAGAUUUUGGCAGUUCUCCUCAAGCUGUUUUAUGGUUCCCAGCCACUGUUGUGAUCGGGCUUACCAACAUUCCUCUGUAUAUGAAAUGUACAAAACACCUCACCAAGACGUGAAUGAUGAAGAAAACUACGACUGGCCAGGAAUUUUGGCUCGAGACCUUUCCAAGCAGAAGGCAGAUCUGGAAUACCCUGAACUAGCCACUUAGAUAUUGCAAAGCCAGGUGCACGACCCUGCCCUGCGCUGCACGGCGCUCUGUAAGGGAAUCCUGGCCUUGACUCACCGCUGAGAAAUGUUCACAGACCACAGAGGAGAGCAAAACCUUUGGGGGUGGAGACGUGCCGCUGCCGCUGCAGAGCGCCGAGCACACGUGCCCUGCUGUAGGUGAGCGGUGUGGGGUGCCCUGGCUGCUGCACCCUGUCCUGAUUAGAACAGUGCUUUCUCGCCGCUGAGCAAAUUAGCUGAAAUGUGAGCGACUGCAGCUAGAUAUCUCUUUAUGGCUUCUUGAUUGCUUCAUCUGAGAUGUCUUGGCCGUGAUAUUUGUUAAUUACCAACUAUCGAAUGGAAAACAUGACUGGUGCAUUAUUAACCUUUCGCUAGCUUCAACGUGCUGUUUGACAAACACCGGGAACUUUUCAACCGGUCUGCUCAAAAUUAAUCAUUGUACAUCUUAAAGAAUGGCAGUAAGAUAUGGGAAAGUUCAUUCUACCUAGGACAGGCGAACAGGCUUGGCAACCGAUCAAGGCCCUCCUGUCCUUUUUGUCAUUGAUUCUGCAGCUUUCUGAUCAUUUUCCUGCAAUGAUGUGCUGUUUUGUAAAAGCUUAUUGCACCGGUGUACACGACCCUUUCAAUAAAUGAAGCAAUCAUUUGUUAGGCACGUUUUGCUGGCUGUGUUUUUGCUAUGUUAGCUGGUGGCAAUGUAUGAAAUGAGUAAUAACGCUGAUGAUGAAUGAACCUGCCAAGAGCCAUCACUCAUCUUGUGGCUUUCCACCCAACGCUUCUUUUGCUGCUUACAGCAAGAUGCUACGAAGCAACCCAAACACGAUUCAACACUGCAGCAUGCAGAAUUCCCAUUGCAACACAAGCAGUAAACGGGGUCACCAAGGAGACUGCAUCUUUCUGUGGCUGUUCUCUUUGCAACACACUGGGAUUAUUACGUCUUAUUUGUAAAGCAAGAGUCACGCUGCAAGGCUAUUGAAACAUCGUGGAAUACACAAUUUCUCUUUUGCAACCUCACCU
ensembl:lncRNA